UAUUUGAAGAGUUUGAUCAUGGCUCAGAUUGAACGCUGGCGGCAGGCCUAAUACAUGCAAGUCGAACGAGAAAGCAUCUUCGGAUGUGAGUACAGUGGCGGACGGGUGAGUAAUACAUAGGAAUCUACCCAAUGGUGGGGGAUAGCUCGGGGAAACUCGAAUUAAUACCGCAUAAUCUCUACGGAGUAAAGGGGGCUUCGGCUCUCGCCAUCGGAUGAGCCUAUGCAGGAUUAGCUUGUUGGUAAGGUAAUGGCUUACCAAGGCAACGAUCCUUAGCUGGUUUGAGAGGAUGACCAGCCACAUCGGGACUGAGACACGGCCCGGACUUCUACGGAAGGCAGCAGUAGGGAAUAUUGGACAAUGAGCGAAAGCUUGAUCCAGC
rnacentral:rRNA from 1 species